UACGUAGGGGGCUAGCGUUGUCCGGAUUUAUUGGGCGUAAAGAGCGUGUAGGCGGCCAGGUAGGUCUGGUGUGAAAACUCGAGGCUUAACCUCGAGAUGUCAUCGGAAACCAUCUGGCUAGAGUCCGGAAGAGGCGAGUGGAAUUCCUGGUGUAGCGGUGGAAUGCGCAGAUAUCAGGAGGAACACCAAUAGCGAAGGCAGCUCGCUGGGACGGUACUGACGCUAAGGCGCGAAAGCGUGGGGAGCGAACAGG
rnacentral:rRNA from 1 species